rnacentral:rRNA from 1 species
UUCGCCCUUAGAGUUUGAUCCUGGCUCAGGAUGAACGCUGGCGGCGUGCUUAACACAUGCAAGUCGAACGAAGCACCUUGAUUCGAUUCUUCGGAUGAAGAUCUUGGUGACUGAGUGGCGGACGGGUGGGUAACGCGUGGGUAACCUGCCUCAUACAGGGGGAUAACAGUUAGAAAUGACUGCUAAUACCGCAUAAGACCACAGCACUGCAUGGUGCAGGGGUAAAAACUCCGGUGGUAUGAGAUGGACCCGCGUCUGAUUAGGUAGUUGGUGGGGUAACGGCCUACCAAGCCAACGAUCAGUAGCCGACCUGAGAGGGUGACCGGCCACAUCGGGACUGAGACACGGCCAAACUCCUACGGGAGGCAGCAGUGGGGAAUAUUGCACAAUGGGGGAAACCCUGAUGCAGCGACGCCGCGUGGAGGAAGAAGGUUUUCGGAUUGUAAACUCCUGUCGUUAGGGACGAUAAUGACGGUACCUAACAAGAAAGCACCGGCUAACUACGUGCCAGCAGCCGCGGUAAAACGUAGGGUGCAAGCGUUGUCCGGAAUUACUGGGUGUAAAGGGAGCGCAGGCGGGAAGACAAGUUGGAAGUGAAAACCAUGGGCUCAACCCAUGAAUUGCUUUCAAAACUGUUUUUCUUGAGUAGUGCAGAGGUAGAUGGAAUUCCCGGUGUAGCGGUGGAAUGCGUAGAUAUCGGGAGGAACACCAGUGGCGAAGGCGGUCUACUGGGCACCAACUGACGCUGAGGCUCGAAAGCAUGGGUAGCAAACAGGAUUAGAUACCCUGGUAGUCCAUGCCGUAAACGAUGAUUACUAGGUGUUGGGGGAUGACCCCCCUCAGUGCCGCAGUUAACACAAUAAGUAAUCCCACCUGGGAGGUACGACCGCAAGGUUGAAACUCAAAGGAAUUGACGGGGGGCCCGCACAAGCAGUGGAGUAUGUGGUUUAAUUCGAAGCAACGCGAAGAACCUUACCAGGUCUUGACAUCCGAUGCAUAGCACAGAGAUGUGUGAAAUCCUUCGGGACAUCGAGACAGGUGGUGCAUGGUUGUCGUCAGCUCGUGUCGUGAGAUGUUGGGUUAAGUCCCGCAACGAGCGCAACCCUUAUUGCCAGUUACUACGUUAAGAGGACUCUGGCGAGACUGCCGUUGACAAAACGGAGGAAGGUGGGGAUGACGUCAAAUCAUCAUGCCCUUUAUGACCUGGGCUACACACGUACUACAAUGGCGUUAAACAAAGAGAAGCAAGACCGCGAGGUGGAGCAAAACUCAAAAACAACGUCUCAGUUCAGAUUGCAGGCUGCAACUCGCCUGCAUGAAGUCGGAAUUGCUAGUAAUCGCGGAUCAGCAUGCCGCGGUGAAUACGUUCCCGGGCCUUGCACUCACCGCCCGUCA